CCUUGUACACACCGCCCGUCACACCAUGGAAGCAAGCAACACCCGAAGCCGGUGGCCUAACCCGCAAGGGAGGGAGCCGUCGAAGGUGGGGCUCGUGACUGGGGUG
rnacentral:rRNA from 1 species